GCCUACAGCGACUGAGGAGGAUCAUUAUCUAUAACCGGGUGUGGCUGCGGCCUCCGGGGGCGUGUCUCCCGGGUGGUAGAGGUAAAACUCGCACGCGCCACAUGUCUGAAUCCUUUUUUUACGAGCACCUUUCGUUCUCCUUCGGUGGGGUGACCUGCCGUUGGAACCCAUCAAAACUCUUUUUGCAUCUAGCAUUACCUGUUCUGAUACAAACAAUCGUUACAACUUUCAACAAUGGAUCUCUUGGCUCUGGCAUCGAUGAAGAACGCAGCGAAAUGCGAUAAGUAGUGUGAAUUGCAGAAUUCAGUGAAUCAUCGAAUCUUUGAACGCACAUUGCGCCCCUUGGUAUUCCAUGGGGCAUGCCUGUUCGAGCGUCAUCUACACCCUCAAGCUCUGCUUGGUGUUGGGCGUCUGUCCCGCCUACGUGCGCGGACUCGCCCCAAAUUCAUUGGCAGCGGUCCUUGCCUCCUCUCGCGCAGCACAUUGCGCUUCUCGAGGUGCGCGGCCCGCGUCCACGAAGCAACAUUACCGUCUUUGACCUCGGAUCAGGUAGGGAUACCCGCUGAACUUAAGCAUAUCAAAAAGGCGAGAGAGAAAA
rnacentral:rRNA from 1 species